rnacentral:rRNA from 1 species
UUAAAUUGAAGAGUUUGAUCAUGGCUCAGAUUGAACGCUGGCGGCAGGCCUAACACAUGCAAGUCGAACGGUAACAGGAAGCAGCUUGCUGCUUUGCUGACGAGUGGCGGACGGGUGAGUAAUGUCUGGGAAACUGCCUGAUGGAGGGGGAUAACUACUGGAAACGGUGGCUAAUACCGCAUAAUGUCGCAAGACCAAAGAGGGGGACCUUCGGGCCUCUUGCCAUCAGAUGUGCCCAGAUGGGAUUAGCUUGUUGGUGAGGUAACGGCUCACCAAGGCGACGAUCCCUAGCUGGUCUGAGAGGAUGACCAGCCACACUGGAACUGAGACACGGUCCAGACUCCUACGGGAGGCAGCAGUGGGGAAUAUUGCACAAUGGGCGCAAGCCUGAUGCAGCCAUGCCGCGUGUAUGAAGAAGGCCUUCGGGUUGUAAAGUACUUUCAGCGGGGAGGAAGGUGUUGUGGUUAAUAACCGCAGCAAUUGACGUUACCCGCAGAAGAAGCACCGGCUAACUCCGUGCCAGCAGCCGCGGUAAUACGGAGGGUGCAAGCGUUAAUCGGAAUUACUGGGCGUAAAGCGCACGCAGGCGGUCUGUCAAGUCGGAUGUGAAAUCCCCGGGCUCAACCUGGGAACUGCAUUCGAAACUGGCAGGCUUGAGUCUUGUAGAGGGGGGUAGAAUUCCAGGUGUAGCGGUGAAAUGCGUAGAGAUCUGGAGGAAUACCGGUGGCGAAGGCGGCCCCCUGGACAAAGACUGACGCUCAGGUGCGAAAGCGUGGGGAGCAAACAGGAUUAGAUACCCUGGUAGUCCACGCCGUAAACGAUGUCUACUUGGAGGUUGUGCCCUUGAGGCGUGGCUUCCGGAGCUAACGCGUUAAGUAGACCGCCUGGGGAGUACGGCCGCAAGGUUAAAACUCAAAUGAAUUGACGGGGGCCCGCACAAGCGGUGGAGCAUGUGGUUUAAUUCGAUGCAACGCGAAGAACCUUACCUGGUCUUGACAUCCACAGAACUUUCCAGAGAUGGAUUGGUGCCUUCGGGAACCGUGAGACAGGUGCUGCAUGGCUGUCGUCAGCUCGUGUUGUGAAAUGUUGGGUUAAGUCCCGCAACGAGCGCAACCCUUAUCCUUUGUUGCCAGCGGUCCGGCCGGGAACUCAAAGGAGACUGCCAGUGAUAAACUGGAGGAAGGUGGGGAUGACGUCAAGUCAUCAUGGCCCUUACGACCAGGGCUACACACGUGCUACAAUGGCGCAUACAAAGAGAAGCGACCUCGCGAGAGCAAGCGGACCUCAUAAAGUGCGUCGUAGUCCGGAUUGGAGUCUGCAACUCGACUCCAUGAAGUCGGAAUCGCUAGUAAUCGUGGAUCAGAAUGCCACGGUGAAUACGUUCCCGGGCCUUGUACACACCGCCCGUCACACCAUGGGAGUGGGUUGCAAAAGAAGUAGGUAGCUUAACCUUCGGGAGGGCGCUUACCACUUUGUGAUUCAUGACUGGGGUGAAGUCGUAACAAGGUAACCGUAGGGGAACCUGCGGUUGGAUCACCUCCUUACCU